rnacentral:rRNA from 1 species
UACGUAGGGUGCGAGCGUUAAUCGGAAUUACUGGGCGUAAAGCGUGCGUAGGCGGUUCGUUAAGUUCGUUGUGAAAGCCCCGGGCUCAACCUGGGAACUGCAAUGGAAACUGGCGGGCUUGAGUGUGGCAGAGGGGGGUGGAAUUCCCGGUGUAGCGGUGGAAAUGCGCAGAUAUCGGGAGGAACACCAAUGGCGAAGGCAGCUUGCUGGGACGGUACUGACGCUGAGACGCGAAAGCGUGGGGAGCAAACAGG